ACGUAGGUCGCAAGCGUUGUCCGGAUUUACUGGGCGUAAAGAGCGCGCAGGCGGCUGGCCAAGUCCAAUGUGAAAUCUCCCGGCUUAACCGGGAAACUGCGUCGGAAACUGGUCGGCUUGAAGGUGGGAGAGGGUAGCGGAAUUCCCGGUGUAGUGGUGGAAUGCGUAGAUAUCGGGAGGAACACCAGUGGCGAAGGCGGCUACCUGGCCCAUUCUUGACGCUGAGGCGCGAAAGCUAGGGGAGCGAACGGGA
rnacentral:rRNA from 1 species